UACGGAGGGUGCAAGCGUUGUUCGGAAUUACUGGGCGUAAAGAGCGUGUAGGCGGCCAGACAGGUCCGUUGUGAAAACUGGAGGCUUAACCUCCAGACGUCGAUGGAAACCGUCUGGCUAGAGUCCGGAAGAGGAGAGUGGAAUUCCUGGUGUAGCGGUGAAAUGCGCAGAUAUCAGGAAGAACACCCGUGGCUAAGGCGGCUCUCUAGUACGGUACUGACGCUGAGACGCGAAAGCGUGGGGAGCGAACAGG
rnacentral:rRNA from 1 species